CAAAUACACAAACUCAGAAAGGGGAAGAAGGCCGAAGGGGCGAAGGCGAACCGGCGAAACCGCGAAGGGCUAGGGCCAACCGGCCAAGCCGCCAAGGGCAGUAGCAGCCGGCAGGCGGCAGGGCGGUGGGACCAUGGGCGCCAGCGCCUGGUGCUUCUUCUUGAAUUGCAGGAAGCAUUGUCAGAAGUUAUAAAGGUGAGUUUCAAUGGUGGCAACUGUUUCCUGGGGAAUGGGAGGAAGAACCCAUCUUGGCAAAUCAAUUUUUGGAGGAUCCAGUGCUUUUGACUCCUGAAGCAGCAAAUGAGAAGCCUUAUGUUGCAAUAAUUAAGGUAAGUUUGUUCUUCUGCUUCUUAAGGGGGCAUGGAAUACGGUGAUAUGGUUGGUUUUCUUGCAUUGGCAUUCAAGUUCACAUGAACCAUGUCAAGAUCAUACAAGGAAGAGAUCUGUAAAGGCUAAAGAGUACUAAUAUUCAUAAUUAUUUGAUUUAAAGUGUUGUUUUCAUAAGCUUUCCACUCCCUACAGGAACUUCUACCUCUCUUAAGAGGAAGCUACUGAAAAUUUCACAUGUAAUUUUGUACAUGUCUAUAGUUUUUUUGACUUGCUUUUUGAGGCUAAUUGUAAAUUUGUUUAUAACUAUAGUCAUUUGAUCUAUUUUUUAUGCUAAUUGUAAAUUUGUUCA